rnacentral:rRNA from 1 species
AUUGAACGCUGGCGGCAGGCCUAACACAUGCAAGUCGGACGGUAGCACAGAGAGCUUGCUCUUGGGUGACGAGUGGCGGACGGGUGAGUAAUGUCUGGGGAUCUGCCCGAUAGAGGGGGAUAACACUGGAAACGGUGGCUAAUACCGCAUAACGUCGCAAGACCAAAGAGGGGGACCUUCGGGCCUCUCACUAUCGGAUGAACCCAGAUGGGAUUAGCUAGUAGGCGGGGUAAUGGCCCACCUAGGCGACGAUCCCUAGCUGGUCUGAGAGGAUGGCCAGCCACACUUGAACUGAGACACGGUCCAGACUCCUACGGGAGGCAGCAGUGGGGAAUAUUGCACAAUGGGCGCAAGCCUGAUGCAGCCAUGCCGCGUGUACGAAGAAGGCCUUCGGGUUGUAAAGUACUUUCAGCGGGGAGGAAGGCGGUGAGGUUAAUAACCUCGCCGAUUGACGUUACCCGCAGAAGAAGCACCGGCUAACUCCGUGCCAGCCGCCGCGGUAA